rnacentral:rRNA from 1 species
CCUACGGGAGGCAGCAGUGGGGAAUAUUGCGCAAUGGGGGAAACCCUGACGCAGCAAUGCCGCGUGAGUGAGGAAGGGUUUCGGCUCGUAAAGCUCUGUCAGAUGGGAAUAAUGGUUAAGGGUCUAAUAGGCCUUUGAUUUGAAGGUACCUUCAAAGGAAGCACCGGCUAACUUCGUGCCAGCAGCCGCGGUAAUA